UAGGUCUUUCCACUGCUUUCUCCUGUGUCUUCCCUCUGUGAUUUCUAAUGUAGAUUUUCGCUUGACUUUAGCGUUAUUUUCCUAAGUUGGACUUUGUGGUGGAUUUCUACAUUGGAAUUUGUGUUUUGGACUUUGGAAGUCCUGCCACCAAACCAGUCGUCCCCCUGACGAUCCCACAAACUCCCCUCUGAUGUUAUCAGUCGCUGUACAUUUCGUGGAAAUGAUGAAGACACAGACGAACUCUUAUGCAACUUGAAUUGGAGCACUCCAGCACCAUGACCUCUCUCUCUCUCCUCUCUCUCAUACCCACAGAGGAUGACUGGUUAGAACCAGACAAAGAGGAAUUUCAGCUCUGUGUCCAAACAUCAGAGACUGGAGCAGAGAUCACAUUGCGUGUAGAUGUAGUUUUUGAGCUUACACUGAUACCAGCCUCACGCUGACUGCAAGAUUUCACACGAUUGGCUAACAGUCCAUGCUUAUGCAAGAGCGGGGACAGAAAACAGACUUUGAGCAGAACUGGAUUUUCCUAUGAAGCCAGUGUACCCUUAUUACUACACUUACAUGAAGAAGAAGAUUCCUCUUUUUGCUUCUUCUUCUCUUAUUGGACGCAAAGUCAAAAAAAGAAAGUCAGGAAAUGAAGACUGAGGUGAGGAAUAUUGCAAGUCGAGGCUAAUGAGUGUGAAGUAUCAUGGACACUGCGCCUCCAUCUGCUCCUCUUGGGUGAUGUGAAUCCAUCGAACAGUCUUAAAGCAGUGUUAUGCUAGUGGGGCCAAGACACACACAGAGGCAAUAUGUCUGGUGUGCAAAAUAAACCAUGUUGUAUAUUUAUAA